GGAGUGGUCUAGUGGUAUGAUUCUCGCUUCGGGUGCGAGAGGUCCCGGGCUCGAUUCCCGGUGAGGCCC
rnacentral:tRNA from 1 species